rnacentral:lncRNA from 1 species
UAUACGGUUGUGAAUAUUAAGCGAUCACAAGAAAAACAGUGUUCGGGGAGAUAACUCUUACAUUGAAAAGAUUUUGGUUACGCGGCGUCAGUUUCAAAAGCGUAUUAAUUGUUCGAUAUCAUAUACGAUAUAUCUAAGCGACAUCUUGCGAAACAAAAAAAUUGCGAAGGAACAAAAAGUUGGCGGAAGAAAAAAAAUAAUAAUAAUCAGAAGAAAACCAAUAGGUC